rnacentral:rRNA from 1 species
GGUUAAGCGACUAAGCGUACACGGUGGAUGCCCCGCAGUCAGAGGCGAUGAAGGACGUGCUAAUCUGCGAUAAGCGUCGGUAAGGUGAUAUGAACCGUUAUAACCGGCGAUUUCCGAAUGGGGAAACCCAGUGUGUUUCGACACACUAUCAUUAACUGAAUCCAUAGGUUAAUGAGGCGAACCGGGGGAACUGAAACAUCUAAGUACCCCGAGGAAAAGAAAUCAACCGAGAUUCCCCCAGUAGCGGCGAGCGAACGGGGAGGAGCCCAGAGCCUGAAUCAGUGUGUGUUAGUGGAAGCGUCUGGAAAGGCGCGCGAUACAGGGUGACAGCCCCGUACACAAAAAUGCACAUACUGUGAGCUCGAUGAGUAGGGCGGGACACGUGGUAUCCUGUCUGAAUAUGGGGGGACCAUCCUCCAAGGCUAAAUACUCCUGACUGACCGAUAGUGAACCAGUACCGUGAGGGAAAGGCGAAAAGAACCCCGGCGAGGGGAGUGAAAAAGAACCUGAAACCGUGUACGUACAAGCAGUGGGAGCCUCUUUUAUGGGGGUGACUGCGUACCUUUGUAUAAUGGGUCAGCGACUUAUAUUCUGUAGCAAGGUUAACCGAAUAGGGGAGCCGAAGGGAAACCGAGUCUUAACUGGGCGUUAAGUUGCAGGGUAUAGACCCGAAACCCGGUGAUUCAGCCAUGGGCAGGUUGAAGGUUGGGUAACACUAACUGGAGGACCGAACCGACUAAUGUUGAAAAAUUAGCGGAUGACUUGUGGCUGGGGGUGAAAGGCCAAUCAAACCGGGAGAUAGCUGGUUCUCCCCGAAAGCUAUUUAGGUAGCGCCUCGUGAAUUCAUCUCCGGGGGUAGAGCACUGUUUCGGCAAGGGGGUCAUCCCGACUUACCAACCCGAUGCAAACUGCGAAUACCGGAGAAUGUUAUCACGGGAGACACACGGCGGGUGCUAACGUCCGUCGUGAAGAGGGAAACAACCCAGACCGCCAGCUAAGGUCCCAAAGUCAUGGUUAAGUGGGAAACGAUGUGGGAAGGCCCAGACAGCCAGGAUGUUGGCUUAGAAGCAGCCAUCAUUUAAAGAAAGCGUAAUAGCUCACUGGUCGAGUCGGCCUGCGCGGAAGAUGUAACGGGGCUAAACCAUGCACCGAAGCUGCGGCAGCGACGCUUAUGCGUUGUUGGGUAGGGGAGCGUUCUGUAAGCCUGCGAAGGUGUGCUGUGAGGCAUGCUGGAGGUAUCAGAAGUGCGAAUGCUGACAUAAGUAACGAUAAAGCGGGUGAAAAGCCCGCUCGCCGGAAGACCAAGGGUUCCUGUCCAACGUUAAUCGGGGCAGGGUGAGUCGACCCCUAAGGCGAGGCCGAAAGGCGUAGUCGAUGGGAAACAGGUUAAUAUUCCUGUACUUGGUGUUACUGCGAAGGGGGGACGGAGAAGGCUAUGUUGGUCGGGCGACGGUUGUCCCGGUUUAAGCGUGUAGGCUGGUUUUCCGGGCAAAUCCGGAAAACCAAGGCUGAGGCGUGAUGACGAGGCACUACGGUGCUGAAGCGACAAAUGCCCUGCUUCCAGGAAAAGCCUCUAAGCAUCAGGUAACAUCAAAUCGUACCCCAAACCGACACAGGUGGUCAGGUAGAGAAUACCAAGGCGCUUGAGAGAACUCGGGUGAAGGAACUAGGCAAAAUGGUGCCGUAACUUCGGGAGAAGGCACGCUGAUAUGUAGGUGAAGCGACUUGCUCGUGGAGCUGAAAUCAGUCGAAGAUACCAGCUGGCUGCAACUGUUUAUUAAAAACACAGCACUGUGCAAACACGAAAGUGGACGUAUACGGUGUGACGCCUGCCCGGUGCCGGAAGGUUAAUUGAUGGGGUUAGCGGUAACGCGAAGCUCUUGAUCGAAGCCCCGGUAAACGGCGGCCGUAACUAUAACGGUCCUAAGGUAGCGAAAUUCCUUGUCGGGUAAGUUCCGACCUGCACGAAUGGCGUAAUGAUGGCCGGGCUGUCUCCACCCGAGACUCAGUGAAAUUGAACUCGCUGUGAAGAUGCAGUGUACCCGCGGCAAGACGGAAAGACCCCGUGAACCUUUACUAUAGCUUGACACUGAACAUUGAGCCUUGAUGUGUAGGAUAGGUGGGAGGCUUUGAAGUGUGGACGCCAGUCUGCAUGGAGCCGACCUUGAAAUACCACCCUUUAAUGUUUGAUGUUCUAACGUUGGCCCGUAAUCCGGGUUGCGGACAGUGUCUGGUGGGUAGUUUGACUGGGGCGGUCUCCUCCUAAAGAGUAACGGAGGAGCACGAAGGUUGGCUAAUCCUGGUCGGACAUCAGGAGGUUAGUGCAAUGGCAUAAGCCAGCUUGACUGCGAGCGUGACGGCGCGAGCAGGUGCGAAAGCAGGUCAUAGUGAUCCGGUGGUUCUGAAUGGAAGGGCCAUCGCUCAACGGAUAAAAGGUACUCCGGGGAUAACAGGCUGAUACCGCCCAAGAGUUCAUAUCGACGGCGGUGUUUGGCACCUCGAUGUCGGCUCAUCACAUCCUGGGGCUGAAGUAGGUCCCAAGGGUAUGGCUGUUCGCCAUUUAAAGUGGUACGCGAGCUGGGUUUAGAACGUCGUGAGACAGUUCGGUCCCUAUCUGCCGUGGGCGCUGGAGAACUGAGGGGGGCUGCUCCUAGUACGAGAGGACCGGAGUGGACGCAUCACUGGUGUUCGGGUUGUCAUGCCAAUGGCACUGCCCGGUAGCUAAAUGCGGAAGAGAUAAGUGCUGAAAGCAUCUAAGCACGAAACUUGCCCCGAGAUGAGUUCUCCCUGAGACUUUAAGUCUCCUGAAGGAACGUUGAAGACGACGACGUUGAUAGGCCGGGUGUGUAAGCGCAGCGAUGCGUUGAGCUAACCGGUACUAAUGAACCGUGAGGCUUAACCUU